CAUGCACACACAGUGACACACACAGUGACACACACACCAACACCCCAUCAUCAUCAUAACGCUGAAUGCAUGCAUUUAUGCAAAGCGACACAGCAGGUGUCAGAAACUGCCAUCUACAGAAGAUCGUUUGUUAUCGUGGACCGUUCCACUACGUUUCCCUGGGAAGCCCUAAUUACUGCUCCGUUUGUCAUACACUGGUCACAAAGGGGACGGAUAGGCAUAGUGUUUACACAGUAAAGAGACCCAUCAAUGCAACCAUGGUGGCAGAGGUUUCAAGGUUAAUCCAGACACUCUUGUAAAAAGGGGGGCGGCGCCAGAGCACAGCGUGACUGACGGGGUCAACCAGCCGGCCAGACUCCAUCACAGACCAAUGUCCCUGCUAAGUUUGCGAUGCCUCAGGCGCAGCGGACUGAAAGAAUAACUCUGGAUUCGGAGCGGAGCUGAAGGAGCUGAAACCGACAGGUGAUGGUGACGGUUCGCCCAGCGGAGGUAUUUUUAGGGACGUUUCCCAUGGCGACCGGGCCAAGCCACCAGACACAACUCCUGUGAAUCCCAUCAGCCAUCAGUGGAGCUGUGCUACAGCAGGGCCUGGGGGGGCAGCCCGGGGGGGGUUUGAUGACAUCAUGAGCCUUGAUGAGGCUGAAUGACGAGGUCAUCAGGAGGUAGUGCCUCAGCAGGUAGAGUAGGUGGGCUGGAAACCGGAAGGUCGCGAGUUCGAUCCCCGGCUCCUCCUAGCUGAUUGGUGAGGUGUCCCUGACCAGGACACCUCAACCCUAACUGCUCCUGAAGAGCUGGCAG
ensembl:lncRNA